UAURCACGUUAUGUAGAGUGGGCACGUGAAUGGACUUACAUCAGGCAAUAUGAAGAAAACGACUUCUUUGGUGUUMCUGGAAGGGCUGGUGGUCGACCAGCUGGUGCUUUUCGUGGUGGAUUUCUAGGAACAAGAAAGUGUUCUGGAAAUAAGUGCGAAAUAGAKUGCACCCAGAYGUUCAACGACAACACUUGUACAGGAACUGGAUCAGAGGGWRMAGUCAUUCUCCAAAGGAAAGUGUUUGAAAARUGUGAAACGUACGUAGGUKAGGUGAAGAGGCAGCUAAAUCAGUUCUGGAACGAACACGUCUUGACAACGUCUGAAAAAUGGAAAAAAUACGGAGAAGACGCCAAAGAAAAGUUGAAAGCUGUUACAUGUCAGUCUGAAUAAAGAGCGUUCCUCCUGCACUAUUGCAAUGUUUCGCUCAUAAACUUCUUCAAUUAUAAAGACACUGAGAUUUAUGCACUAGUCAAUUGGGGAAUACCGGGGAUUUUAACGGUAGUCGGGGGCACAUUCAUUGUUAAAAUCCCCGCUACUGUUGCCCCGCUAUUUUGGUAGUAUUAUAUAACAAAGCAAAGCCGACUGGUCUUUCAAUCAAAUUUUCUGUGAUACACAGGGUUAGCUUUUGCACAAUCCUGUGUAUUCAUUUGCGUACUACAUGAGG